CAAUAGCGUAUAUUAAAGUUGUUGCAGUUAAAAAGCUCGUAGUUGGAUUUCUGGUGGGAGCUGCCGGUCCGUCGCGCAAGCGACGCGUUUACUGUUGCAGGAUCCAGCCAUCCUCGGGGAGAGCGUCGCUGGCAUUAGGUUGUCGGCGUCGGGAUCCCCGUCCGUCACUGUGAGUAAACUAGAGUGUUCAAAGCAGGCUUAGGCCGUUGAAUACGUUAGCAUGGAAUGAUAAGAUAGGACCUUGGGUCUAUUUUGUUGGUUUGCGGUCCAAGGUAAUGAUUAAUAGGGAUAGUUGGGGGUAUUCGUAUUCAAUUGUCAGAGGUGAAAUUCUUGGAUUUAUCGAAGACGAACUACUGCGAAAGCAUUUACCAAGGAUGUUUUCAUUA
rnacentral:rRNA from 1 species